rnacentral:rRNA from 1 species
GACAGAGGGUGCAAACGUUGUUCGGAAUUACUGGGCGUAAAGCGCGUGUAGGCGGCCAAGCAAGUCGGAUGUGAAAGCCCUCGGCUCAACCGGGGAAGUGCACUCGAAACUGCAUGGCUAGAGUCUCGGAGAGGAUCGUGGAAUUCUCGGUGUAGCAGUGAAAUGCGUAGAGAUCAUGAGGAAGACCAGUGGCGAAGGCGGGUCUCUGGACAGUUCCUGACACUGAGGCACGAAGGCCAGGGGAGCAAACGGG